rnacentral:rRNA from 1 species
GAUGAACGCUGGCGGCGUGCUUAACACAUGCAAGUCGAACGAAGAUGCCGGAGUGCUUGCACUUUGGCAGACUGAGUGGCGGACGGGUGAGUAACGCGUGGGUAACCUGCCUUAUACAGGGGGAUAACAGUUGGAAACGACUGCUAAUACCGCAUAAGCGCACGGUAUCGCAUGAUACAGUGUGAAAAACUCCGGUGGUAUAAGAUGGACCCGCGUCUGAUUAGCUAGUUGGUGGGGUAACGGCCUACUAAGGCGACGAUCAAUAGCCGACCUGAGAGGGUGACCGGCCACAUUGGGACUGAGACACGGGCCCAAAACUCCUACGGGAGGCAGCAGUGAGGAAUAUUGGUCAAUGGACGAGAGUCUGAACCNGCCAAGUAGCGU